rnacentral:rRNA from 1 species
UACAGAGGUCUCAAGCGUUGUUCGGAUUCAUUGGGCGUAAAGGGUGCGUAGGUGGCGAGGUUAGUCAGGUGUGAAAUCUCGGGGCUCAACCCCGAAACUGCACUUGAUACUGCCUUGCUAGAGUACUGGAGAGGAGAUUGGAAUUUACGGUGUAGCAGUGAAAUGCGUAGAUAUCGUAAGGAAGACCAGUGGCGAAGGCGGCUCACUGGCCCGGUACUGACGCUGAGGUGCGAAAGCGUGGGGAGCAAACAGG